UUAAAAUACCGGGAACCUAUAAAUUCAUCAAAAAUAAUAUAUUGCUGAACCAACAGAUUCUAGAGUAUAAAUAUAAGAGAGAUGUUCGGUAUACUAUCACUCGAUCAUGAUGGCUGGAAAGAAACGGAAGCCUGCAGCAUCGUCUUCGGAAGUUUUUUGAGCACCAAAAUGCGACCAAGCAACAGAUCAACGACACCAUGGAAUAUCUAUUUCAAAAGAAAUUAGAGCGCGUACCAGAUCCGUUUCUAAUUGAAAUACUAAGAAAUGAAUUGCAUCCAAUUCGUUUCGGAGAUGGUCAACCAUAUUUUUGUACGAUGAUGACGGGAGGCAAUUUGUUCAAAUACGUACCAAUAUUUCUACAUUUGCAACGGUACAUUCGUGAUCACCAACGAAAUAGAGAGGCGGCAUUGUGACGAGGUGAAAGAACAGAGCUCCGUGAUUACAGAAAUUUCACCGUUUUUCCAUUUUCAACGUUUAAAAAACAUCAAAUUCGCAUCGAUAAGCAAGGUCUUUAUUCCAUGCUGAGAGCGAUCGAAUGCCCACACCCACGGCUCAUUAGACGUGAUGGAACACCAAAGCAGUAUAAGGAAUUAAAAUCCGCUGAUUGGAACGUGCUUUGGCGAACGUAUUUUGAUAUUGAUGCCAUCGAAAGAACACCGCAAAAUGACAAUCGUGCCACUAUAAAAUUCCAAAGUUCGAUUCAAACGGAUGGAGUGGCUAUGUCAUUCUGGAUGGAACGCACAAAUUCAUUGUUGCCAAAGAUGAAAAUGAAAUCAUGCGAGAGACUCAACAAAAAUUAUUGAAAGCGCAACAAGUGUAUGGUCUCGAUCCAGGUCUUCGGCUGGUGAUUGGCGGUGUUUGUGUGACCAAUUACAAUGAUCCGAAAAAGGAAAAUCGCCGCGAAAAACUCGUUCGAUUGACGUCGGGUCAAUAUAAUCACAUGAUCGGCUAUCGCUACCCAUAUAACUCAUUUGCGGAGUAAUUUUGUCGAUGGCGGGACUGUGCGAAGUUCGGCGCAGAUAGCAUGCAAAUGCUGUGUGUACGAGUGCAACAGCAUUCUUUGCUGUUCAUAGAUUUAUUUUAUCCAAACGAACAUCUUAGUAGCCGUACACACAGCUAAGUUACUAAUCAUCUGCGAUUAUCUGCGUAAGAAUGAUACACAUAGAAGUGCUGUUACCCUCGUACACACAGAGUUUGUAUGUCAUCUCCGCUAAACUCCGCACAGUCCCGCCAUCGUCAAAAUUACUCCGCAAAUGAAUUAUAUGGGUAGCGAAAUAAAUAGCGCGAAAAGUUGACUUUCAACAUCGACGAAAAAAUGCGUAUUCACCGAGAAUCUUUUGAUGAGAAACCAGGUCCACAUUCAGACAACAUUGAUAGAUAUGUCGAUCAUAUUUUACGGCAUUUCAAUGAGAAGUUUGAAACUGCUUGUACGAAUAUGCACUUCAAGAUUUCCUACAGUACAUCGAUACGAAUAAGAUACUCGAUGAGUUGGCAGACUGGUUGAUCGAUCGCAAAGAAACAUUCGUAUUUGUGGGUGAAAAUGUCAUUGCUGCCGACUCAGAAGCAAAAGUCUAUUUAUUUAUUUAUUUGUGAUUUUAUUUAAAAAAAAAAGGGUAUAUUUUCGGUCGAAAGUACGCGAUUUGUUUGAGAAAAUGAAGUGACGGCGCAACUGUACAGUGGUCACAGUGGAUGAAUUUCGAACAACAAAGGUGUGCUCGUUGUGUUUCAAAGACUUGGAAUUUUCGAAGAAAAGUGAUCGUGUGAAGAUGAAAUACUGAUACUUUACUUGCCGUAAAUGCGAAUCAUUGCCAGUAGGAAGUAAAACACAUGGUCCCAUCGACUCACGAAAGAGUAAUCAUCUUUUGACGAAACAACGAGAACAUCGACCUCGUCCUGGACCACGUAUGGCAUCAAAAUUCCGACGCUACGAAGAAAAACGGACAAUUGUUAAACAAUUUGUUAAACAAUUCAAACAUAGGACGGUGUGCUGUAAUGAAUGAAGAACUACUACUCGUAGGCAUCCAUUCAGAACCAACAACCAAUACAAGGAACAUCGCGUUCUAUCCAAGAUCAAGCACGAAACUCUCGGUCGUAGGCCCUGGGUAUUGUGCGGGAUGUCAUCGUAUUCUUAUUAUAGCUACUUUUAGUAAGUAUUUAAAUUUAAUCCUACAGUGCUAACAUUUAAUCCUUUUGGAUUAUUUUUAUG